AUUGAACGCUGGCGGCAUGCCUUACACAUGCAAGUCGAACGGUAACAGGUCUUCGGAUGCUGACGAGUGGCGAACGGGUGAGUAAUACAUCGGAACGUGCCCGAUCGUGGGGGAUAACGGAGCGAAAGCUUUGCUAAUACCGCAUACGAUCUACGGAUGAAAGCAGGGGACCGCAAGGCCUUGCGCGGACGGAGCGGCCGAUGGCAGAUUAGGUAGUUGGUGGGAUAAAAGCUUAGCAAGCCGACGAUCUGUAGCUGGUCUGAGAGGACGACCAGCCACACUGGGACUGAGACACGGCCCAGACUCCUACGGGAGGCAGCAGUGGGGAAUUUUGGACAAUGGGCGCAAGCCUGAUCCAGCCAUGCCGCGUGCAGGAUGAAGGCCUUCGGGUUGUAAACUGCUUUUGUACGGAACGAAAAGACUCUUUCUAAUAAAGAGGGUCCAUGACGGUACCGUAAGAAUAAGCACCGGCUAACUACGUGCCAGCAGCCGCCGCGGUAA
rnacentral:rRNA from 1 species